rnacentral:rRNA from 1 species
GAGACAGCAGUCGCCGCGGGAAUACGAAGGGGGCUAGCGUUGUUCGGAAUUACUGGGCGUAAAGGGCGCGUAGGCGGCCAUUCAAGUUAGAUGUGAAAGCCCUGGGCUCAACCUAGGAAUUGCAUUUGAUACUGUUUGGCUUGAGUUCGGGAGAGAUGAGUGGAAUUCCCAGUGUAGAGGUGAAAUUCGUAGAUAUUGGGAAGAACACCAGUGGCGAAGGCGGCUCACUGGACCGACACUGACGCUGAGGCGCGAAAGCGUGGGGAGCAAACAGGAUUAGAGACCCGCGUAGUCCCUGUCUCUUAUAC